GGAUGUGAUAGCAAUCUGGCUGCGACAUCUGUCACCCCAUUGAUCGCCAGGGUUGAUUCAGCUGAUCUGGCUGGCUAGGCGGGUGUCCCCUUCUUCCCUCACCACUCCAUGGGCAUCCCUCCCGAAGCUGAGUGCUCAGUCGAAGAGGACGACCAUCCCCAAUAGAGGAGGACCGUUCUUCGAUCAAGGGUAUAUGAGUAGCCGUGCUCCCCUGCUAGAACCUCCAAACAAGCUCUCAAGACAGGCCAGAGUUCUUCUGAAAUUUUCAAAAUGGAUGUGGGAAAGAAAGAAGGCUCCACUUCUGGUCUUGUCACUAAGAUGAUAUGGAUGUGACUCAAA
rnacentral:snRNA from 1 species